ACGGGGGGAGCAAGCGUUGUUCGGAUUUACUGGGCGUAAAGGGCGCGUAGGCGGUUAUUUAAGUCAGGUGUGAAAGCCCUGGGCUUAACCUAGGAAUUGCGCUUGAGACUGGAUAGCUUGGAGUGCGGCAGAGGGAGGUGGAAUUCCACGUGUAGCAGUGAAAUGCGUAGAGAUGUGGAGGAACACCGAUGGCGAAGGCAGCCUCCUGGGCCAGCACUGACGCUCAUGCACGAAAGCGUGGGGAGCAAACAGGA
rnacentral:rRNA from 1 species